AAACACGGAACUCUUGUUUAUUCGGCUCUGGGCGUCAGUGUUCUUCGCCCAGCCUGGUCCCGUGUGCUUCUAGGUCCAACCUAGUCGCAGCCCGGGGAGGGACUGGGGAAGACGGUUUCAGGGGCUGGAGUUAGGGGAGAAGAAAUGUGGAGUAGAAGCUCCAACAUACAGAUAGGCAAACUGAAGCCGAGGAGGGGACGAGCCGUGCCCGAGGUCACCCAGCGAGCUGGGCACUGCGCUAGCCCCCUCGCUGCAGCUGCAACUCCCACUGACCUCCAUGGAGGGCAAGUCCCCAGCCCUAAGCCCCAAGCCAUUCUAGGGGAGGAAGCAGGGCCACUCCCCCAUGAGAAAUUCUAUCCUUGCAAACAUACACCCCCAACCCACUCAGUGUCCCCAGCUGCAGAGGGCUGGGCACAGUUGGGCCUUG
rnacentral:lncRNA from 1 species